rnacentral:rRNA from 1 species
AAUUUGAUCAUGGCUCAGAGUGACCCGCGGGGUUAUAGGCCUAACACAUGCAAGUCGAACGGCAGCACAGGAGAGCUUGCUCUCUGGGUGGCGAGUGGCGGACGGGUGAGGAAUACAUCGGAAUCUACUCUGUCGUGGGGGAUAACGUAGGGAAACUUACGCUAAUACCGCAUACGACCUACGGGUGAAAGCAGGGGAUCUUCGGACCUUGCGCGAUUGAAUGAGCCAAUGUCGGAUUAGCUAGUUGGCGGGGUAAAGGCCCACCAAGGCGACGAUCCGUAGCUGGUCUGAGAGGAUGAUCAGCCACACUGGAACUGAGACACGGUCCAGACUCCUACGGGAGGCAGCAGUGGGGAAUAUUUGGACAAUGGGCGCAAGCCUGAUACCAGCCAUACCGCGUGGGUGUAAGCAAGGCCUUCGGGUUGUAAAGCCCUUUUUGUUGGGAAACGAAAUCCAGGCUGGCUAAUACCUGGGUUGGGAUGACGGUACCCAAAAGAAUUAGCCGGG